rnacentral:lncRNA from 1 species
CGGCAUCCUGGCCAUGGACGAGUCCAACGCCACCUGCGGGAAGCGCCUCGACUCGAUCGGCCUGGAGAACACGGAGGCCAACCGGCAGGCGUUCCGCACGCUGCUGGUCUCCGUACCUGGCCUCGGCAACCACAUUUCCGGCGCCAUCCUCUUCGAGGAGACGCUCUACCAGUCCACCGUCGACGGCAAGAAGAUUGUCGACAUCCUGGCAGAGCAGGGCAUCGUGCCCGGGAUCAAGGUGGACAAGGGCCUCGUGCCGCUCACCGGCUCCAACGACGAGUCUUGGUGUCAGGGCCUCGACGGCCUCGCCUCCCGGGAGGCCGCCUACUACCAGCAGGGCGCCCGCUUCGCCAAGUGGCGCACCGUGGUCAGCAUCCCCAACGGCCCCUCCGAGCUCGCCGUCAAGGAGGCCGCCUGGGGCCUCGCCCGCUACGCCGCCAUCUCGCAGGACAACGGCCUGGUGCCCAUAGUGGAGCCGGAGAUCCUGCUGGACGGGGAGCACGGCAUCGGGCGCACCUUCGAGGUGGCGCAGAAGGUGUGGGCCGAGACAUUCUACCAGAUGUCCCAGAACAACGUCAUGUUCGAGGGCAUCCUGCUCAAACCCAGCAUGGUCACCCCUGGCGCUGAGUGCAAGGACAGGGCCACGCCGGAGCAGGUGGCCGACUACACCCUCAAGCUCCUCAGCCGCCGCGUGCCGCCCGCCGUCCCGGGCAUCAUGUUCCUGUCGGGAGGGCAGUCCGAGGUGGAGGCCACGCUCAACCUCAACGCCAUGAACCAGGGGCCCAACCCGUGGCACGUCUCCUUC